rnacentral:rRNA from 1 species
GACGAGCCACACAAACGUUAUUCGGAAUUACUGGGCUUAAAGGGUGCGUAGGCUGCGCGAAAAGUUGGGUGUGAAAUACCUCGGCUCAACCGAGGAACUGCGCCCAAAACUAUCGUGCUCGAGGAAGAUAGAGGUGAGCGGAACUUACGGUGGAGCGGUGAAAUGCGUUGAUAUCGUAAGGAACACCCGUGGCGAAAGCGGCGCACUGGACCACAACUGACGCUGAGGCGCGAAAGCUAGGGGAGCAAACAGG